GUGCUUGCUUCUGCAGCACAUGUGCUAAAAUUGGAAUAGAGAAGAUUAGUAUGGCACCUGUAAAAGGAUAACAUGAAAAUUUUUGAAGUGGAUCUUGAGAGU
rnacentral:snRNA from 1 species